UCUAGAGACUGGUCGGAAUAGAGUGUGGCCCUGUUGCUUUUUGGUAUCAUUACUAGCAAGUGUCAUGUCACUUUUACCCAUGCUCUUUACAAACAGAAGUACCCCUCAGAUUUUAGUUUAUACAUAGAGUCAACUGUUGUUGUCGAAGCUGCUAGUAAACUGACUUGAAUAUGCAUUUUCCUUGUUGAUCGCCUGAUUUGUUUCAAGUGUGGUUGUAGUUUGUAGAUAUGACACUCCAUUAGUUCCACCGAAAUGGUACAUGUAUCCUGGAUGGAGCUGAUGCAUACAUAUCCUUUUAAUUCCUUUUCCUUUUUGUACAUUUAAAUAAAAAAAUACCAAUCUUGACUCUGGCCAAGAGCCGGUCGUUUGUUAUUGUUAUGGUAUAAAUGGUAUAUUAGAAAGGAGUGGCCAGAGCACAUAUUUGUUAUUGUUAUGGAAGUACAAGUGUUGUCACUGUAAAUACAAAAGGAGUGGGCAGAGUGCAUCUCACCCAUUCCAUGUACAUGAAGGCGGUUCCCUUGUGGUGCAACAACAAUGUUCCUUGCUACCAGCAAAUCAUAUCCAAAUGGAUAGACCCGGAGUGGAGGGCCCAACAUCGAAUGGCUUCCGAGCGGCGUGCCUUGAUGGGUGGUCCGGUACACCUUCAAGGCAACCUCAGCCUCCACGCUUACGUGCAGAAGAAGAAUAGGGAGAGAGGUGAGGGCCAAGAGAAGCUCAAUACCUUCACGGGAUUAUGUCUCUCCCGCAAGUCAAAGAAACCGGAAGGGGGUGGGUCAACCCAGGCGCUGGCUUGAGGAUUGAUGCAUACAGUGGGAAGUUCAAGGAGCACAACGGGCCUGACUCUGAUCCGGCCUCACAGGACAUUGGCGCUACAAUUUCCCUCCAGUCGGGAGAUGUCAAGAAGGGUGGUCGGUUAUAUGUUGGCGAUGGUGCCAUCCAUAAGAAGGACAUCCAAAAACUCUCUCACCUCCGUGCUACCACGUCGAGCUCAGGUCCUGCUAUAGAGCGUCGCCCACAGCUUGGGCUGCACAUGCUUCAUCAACUCGAGGCCAAUGCCAGGCUUCGAGAGGAGCAAGCCAUGAAAAUGCAGCAGGCUUUCAACAGCAAGAAUUCAUGGUUAAACAACAGGCAAUCCUGCAAGAGACAUUUGCUCAACUCAGAAAUAAUAUGCAGGGUUCCACUUUGCCCGUUCUUCCUCCUCUUCCGACUCUUCCUAAUUUCAACUUUUUUUCUCAGUCGGGAAAAGACUCCAAUAACUGUGUGGUAGGUGGAUCUUCACCUGGCCAAGCAAGUCCAGUGACACCCACUACGGUUCAUGUCGCUUCGACCUCCCCACAACAAUGAUCACUUGAGGUUUGCAUUGUGGAUGGCAUUGACGGUGGGCAUAUAUGCUGCGGUGGAGCUCAUUGCAUGGUUCAUGCUUGGUGUGAACUUGGAACUCAUGAUCCUUUAAUUUGUGAACCUCUGGUUGCAUAUGUAUGUAUGUUGUUGUGAACCUUCGUUGGAUAUGUAUGCACAACUUACGGUCCUUUCGUUUGUGAUCUUUUGUUGCAUACGUAUGCAUAUGUGGACUUUGCACUCAUGUACGGCUGGAUAUAUGUAUUAUUGGAUAUAUGUUUGUUGGUCAUGGUCAUGUACUGCUGGAUAUAUAUAUAUUUGUUGGAUA